ensembl:lncRNA
GAACACCACAUGACAGGAGGCCACCGUACAGGGAUUACAAGUUUUUUUUCUCUCUCUCUCUGAAAUUCUUUUUACCAUCUAUAGAGUUCAUCUGGGGGUAUUCUAGAUGGAGUGAAAAAGACGUGACUCAUAGUGCAGCAAAUGGUAAGAGAGUGGACAAAUAUGGGCUCUGCACUCUACUUCACAGCAGACAGAUCCGCCAGGGCUGGACGAAAGCGUGUGGACCGGAUCGAGAGCGGUUGAGACCACACUGGAACCCGCAGGGACCCUGAAGGUGUUCUGUCGGCAUGCCAACAUUGCCAUGCUGAUUCAUUCUCCAUGUACCGCAACCCAAACCCUCCUACAAGCCCCAGCAUUUAACUUGUUGCGGCAGCAGUCACCCUGCAGAUCCGAUUCCUCACAGCUGACACAUCAACCCAGACAAACAUAACAGAUCUCAAAACUGUUCCUAAACAUCUAUAUAUACUUACAGUACGAAUAUGAGUUGAAAUUGCACAAAUUACACAAAUGCUUCUUUUUCUCUAGCAGUGGUUUAGUAAGUUGUUCUCGAAUAUAAAAAAAAAAUUCAAAAGGGCUUUCACAGAGAAUGCCACAGUAGAACCAUUUUGGGUUUCUCAAAAUAACUUUUCAGAGAACAGUUGUGAAAAUAACUGUUUUUUUUUUUUAAAUAAAUCUGAAGGACAUUCUAAUAAUCUAAAAAAAACUUACUCCACUAUAAUGUGGAAUGGAAAUGUUCCAUGGAUUUUUAAGGUUCUUCAUGGAACCUUUAUUUAUAAGAGUGUGGUUAGUUCUCAUAUCCUUAUUAAAUUAGAAUAUCUUUAUGAAUUAUGUCCUUUAAACUAAAAUUACAAUGUUAUCAUAUUUUACUACAGCUGUUUGGUAAAAAAAAAAAAAAAUUAAAAAAAAUACCUUUUUAAACAUAAGAUUGUACUCUGUUCUCAGUACAAGGGAGUUU